rnacentral:tRNA from 1 species
GUCCCUGUAGUGCAAUGGAUAGCGCAUUGGACAUCUAAUCCAAAUGUCGUGGGUUCGAAUCCCUCCUGGGAUG